UACGUAGGGUGCGAGCGUUAAUCGGAAUUACUGGGCGUAAAGCGUGCGCAGGCUGUUUGGUAAGUCAGAUGUGAAAUCCCCGAGCUCAACUUGGGAACUUGCGUUUGAACUACCGACUAGAAUAUGUCAGAGGGGGGUAGAAUUCCACGUGUAGCAGUGAAAUGCGUAGAGAUGUGGAGGAAUACCGAUGGCGAAGGCAGCCCCCUGGGAUAAUAUUGACGCUCAUGCACGAAAGCGUGGGGAGCGAACAGGAUUAGAUACCCCUGUAGUCC
rnacentral:rRNA from 1 species